UGUCUUGGUUAAUGGAAUGAUGGGAAUUUAAACCUCUUCCAGAGUAUCAAUUGGAGGGCAAGUCUGGUGCCAGCAGCCGCGGUAAUUCCAGCUCCAAUAGCGUAUAUUAAAAUUGUUGCAGUUAAAAAGCUCGUAGUUGAAUUUCUGCUGCAUCGCGUCUUCUUUUUGAUGAGUUGGCGUAUUGCGGCUUUUUUCGGAUGAUUUUUUUGUCCGGAUGAUUACUUUGAGAAAAUUAGAGUGCUCAAAGCAGGCUUUUGCCUUGAAUAGUUUAGCAUGGAAUAAUAAAGUAGGACUUUGGUUCUAUUUUGUUGGUUUUAGGUACCAAAGUAAUGGUUAAUAGGAACAGUUGGGGGCAUUCGUAUUUAACUGUCAGAGGUGAAAUUCUUAGAUUUGUUAAAGACGAACUACUGCGAAAGCAUUUGCCAAGGAUGUUUUCAUUAAUCAAGAACGAAAGUUAGGGGAUCGAAGACGAUCAGAUACCGUCGUAGUCCACAAU
rnacentral:rRNA from 1 species